UUAACCCAAAACAAAGGGCCUUGAUCCCCUGUAUGGCCUGCAUUCCAUGGGAUGAGAUGGGGAUUCCUAUGUUCCUCAUAGGAUCUCUAUAAAAGUAGAGAUCAGGCCUGAGCUCCCAUGAGUGUUCACAGGAGAUGGUGCCAUGCAUGCACAGAAGUUCCCAAACCAGCAUCCACCAUAUCAAACCCGGAAUCUGUGUGAGAAGGCAUGCCUUCAUACUUCAGGCAGUUUACAAGACAGCCUUAGCUUUCGUUUUCUGCUUGCUACAGAGCCUUAAGGUCAGCCAGAAGCGAGUGACUGGAAACUUCUUCAUUCCCAUCUCUCUCCUGGCAUCUCACCAUUGUCACAAUGACUGCCAGUUCCCAGGCCUCAACCUGGAAUCUCAGAAGCAACUCUUUUUGUACAGCUGAGGGGCACCUGGAACAUAGAAGUUAAGAAGAGAUCUGGCUGGGAUCAAGAAACCUCUUUUCACUGCACCUGAGGCUCAGUUGUGCCCUCUGCUGACACUAGGUCAGGAGGCUGGACAGCUCCAACUGGAAACUUGGAGCAGGGUUUUAAGACCUCUGCUUUCUCACUUUGAAGAAUUGGAAUAGAAAAAUAGAAAAUACAAAAAUGAUGAGUCCUUGGAAUUGAUAGGACACGUAGA
ensembl:lncRNA LINC01999 long intergenic non-protein coding RNA 1999